UACGGAGGAUGCGAGCGUUAUCCGGAUUUAUUGGGUUUAAAGGGUGCGUAGGCGGCUUUUUAAGUCAGCGGUGAAAUUUUGCAGCUUAACUGUAACAGUGCCGUUGAUACUGGGGAGCUAGGAUUUGGUUGCUGUGGGUGGAAUGUGUGGUGUAGCGGUGAAAUGCUUAGAUAUCACACAGAAUAUCAAUUGCGAAGGCAGCUCACAAAGCCAAGAUUGACGCUGAGGCACGAAAGUGUGGGGAUCAAACAGGAUUA
rnacentral:rRNA from 1 species